rnacentral:rRNA from 1 species
AUGGGUAUUGAGGUUGUACUCCAAUCUUCCAAAGAGGAGCUGGAUUCUUCCAUUGUCCCUCCAUCUAGCGACAACAUGGAAACGCCGGAUGAUAAGGGUGACCGUUUAACGGAACUUUCGGGCACUAUCAAUGCUGAAAGUUCUUUGGGUGCACAGUCAGACAAUGGCAUCUCAGAACCAUUAGAAGCUGCUGAUGUGAAUGGAGAUAUUGAGCAUGAUGAUUCCUCAGCCACUGGCCACGCUGAACAGAAUGAUGAUGAGCCCGUUGCAGAUGAAGCCUCUCCCAUCAUCAUCGAGAAAGGAGACGUGGUGCAACAUUGUGUUGAAAUUAGUGCACAUGAACAAGAGAAUCAAGAAACGUUUCCAGCGACAGAAACAGCGGCAAGUGAUGGUUACUCAGUCACAUCCAUGGAAGAUGUGCAGCCUAAAAAAGGUGCUCAGUCAGAGCCAGGAGAUGUUAGUGGGUACCCUCCUGAUCUACCCAGCGACAAGAAUUCCACUGGGAAUGGAAAUGUCUAUGAGAAUGCAAAGUGUGUAUUGACAAGCUCGACGAAGAAGAUGAAGAGAAGCGCGUCUGCGACUACAAGGAAGCCCCUACAAGCUACAAACAGAAACAGUCAUCCGGAUGACUGGAAUGCUUCCACUCUCACUAACUCCAAAUCGUCGAAUGGAAAGACUACUACUGUCCCGUCAAGCCCGGUCUUCAGAUGUACUGAACGUGCCGAGAAGCGCAGAGAGUAUUAUUCAAAGUUGGAGGAGAAACAUCAAGCUAUGGAGGAGCAGAGGAUUAAGCUGGAAGCUAGGUUGAAGAGGGAGCAGGAGGAGGCUCUCAGGCUACUCAGGAAAAGCCUGACAUUCAAAGCCACACCCAUCCCAAGCUUCUACCAUGAGGCACCUUCUCCCAAGGCUGAAUACAAGAAGCUGCCCACAACCCGUCCCAAGUCACCGAAGCUGGGGAGGAAGAAGGCCGCCAUGAACACCUCGCACUCAUCGGAGGAGAGCGAGAGCACGAGGCCCUGCUGCCGCGCAAGCCGCGACAGACACGACAGCAACUGCAAAUGCCACAGCAGCAGCAGCAAGCCACGGCAGCAGCAACAUCCCACAGCAAGCUCAUCCAAGAAGCAGCCCAACAAGAACCAUGCCCACAAGCUAUCGGCGCUCAACAUCGCCGUGUGCUAG